rnacentral:rRNA from 1 species
UACAGAGGGUGCGAGCGUUGUCCGGAAUCACUGGGCGUAAAGGGCGCGUAGGUGGCCUGGUAAGUAGGGGGUGAAAUCUCGAGGCUCAACUUCGAGGCUGCCUCCUAAACUGUCAGGCUUGAGCAGAGUAGAGGCAGGUGGAAUUCCCGGUGUAGCGGUGGAAUGCGUAGAGAUCGGGAAGAACAUCGGUGGCGAAGGCGGCCUGCUGGGCAGUAGCUGACACUGAGGCGCGACAGCGUGGGGAGCAAACAGG